AGAAUGAACGCUGGCGGCGUGCCUAACACAUGCAAGUCGAACGAGAAAGGUAGCAAUACUGAGUACAGUGGCGCACGGGUGAGUAAUGCGUGAGAAUCUGCCUCUGAGUGGAGAAUACCUCCGAGAAAUCGGAGUUAAUACUGCAUAAGCCCUACGGGGAAAGUGGCCUAAAAGCUACCGCUGAGAGAUGAGCUUGCGUCCUAUUAGCUAGUUGGAAGGGUAAAAGCCUACCAAGGCGAAGAUGGGUAGCUGGCCUGAGAGGGUGAUCGGCCACACUGGAACUGAGACACGGUCCAGACUCCUACGGGAGGCAGCAGUGGGGAAUAUUGCACAAUGGGCGAAAGCCUGAUGCAGCGACGCCGCGUGGAGGAUGAAGGUUUUCGGAUUGUAAACUCCUGUUAAGUGGGAAGAAAGACUGAUACCUAAUACGUAUUGGAGAUGACGGUACCACUAGAGAAAGCACGGCAAACUUCGUGCCAGCAGCCG
rnacentral:rRNA from 1 species